AUUAUUUUUAAAUUGAUGUCUAGGGAGAGAAUGGUUUGGCUCCUUCUGUUGACCGGCCAACUAUAGUUUGUCAAGGUCGACUGUGUAAAGCAGGAAAAACAGGACUUGCAAGAUCUUCUUCAAGUUUCCAGGUCAGCUUCUCUCUGAGACAAACAACAGCAAGUGCAGAAGGUCGUCUUCAGCUUCCACAGACUAUCGAGGAAGACAGUGAAGAGGAAGAUGAGUUUAUUAUUGAGUAUGUUACUGAUUCUGAAGAGGAACUAGAGGAUGGAGAUCAAGAAUGGUGAUUAAUCAGUGAUAAAGAUCAAUAUGUACUGAUUCUGAGAUGGAAUUGGAGGAUAAAGAUCAAAAAAGGUGACUAAGAUCAAUAUGUGACUAAUUCUGAGAAGGAUUUGGAGGAUAAAGAUCAAGAAUGGUGAUUAAACAGUGAUUUAAAGAUCAAAUGUAUUGGAAUAUGUAGAUUGUGCCAAUGAUUAGAGUAAGAUUAUAUUAAAUGGAGUGACUGGCUAUGUUAUUUAGUCGAACUGAGUAUGCAGUGUUGUGGAAAACUUCUUUCGUAUUCAUUUGAGACA